CCGCGGUAUCCUGACCGUGCGAAGGUAGCAUAAUCACUUGUUCUUUAAAUGGGGACUAGUAUGAAAGGCACCACGAGGGCUUUACUGUCUCCUUUCUCCAAUCAGUGAAACUGAUCUCCCUGUGAAAAAGCAGGAAUAUUAAUAUAAGACGAGAAGACCCCAUGGAGCUUUGAACCCAAUGACAACCCGAACACUCCCGACCCAUUAGAGUUUUAUAACUACUGUCCAUUGGUUUUAGGUUCGGGUGACCGCGGAGAACAAAAUACCCUCAAUGACGAACGGCACUAACCCCUAAUCCAACACCCACAGCUCUAAGAAUUAACACAUUAACGAUAACUGAACCAAUCAAUUGAUCAACGAACCAAGUUACCCUGGGGAUAACAGCGCAAUCCAUUUUGAGAGCCCCUAUCGAAAAAUGGGUUUACGACCUCGAUGUUGGAUCAGGGUACCCAGGUGGUGCAGCCGCUACCAAUGGUUUGUUUGUUCAACAAUUAAAACCCUACGUGAUCUGAGUUC
rnacentral:rRNA from 1 species